GCCGCCGGGCCCGCGCCCCGGGCGGUACCGACACCUGCUGGGCAGAGCGCGGCCGCGAGGUCGCCGCGGAGCUGGGCGGCCUUAAUAUGGCUGAUGUUUGUGUGCGGCCGACUGGGUGUGUUCUAGGCGCGCUCCAGACUACGUUGCAAGGUGGCUGCUGCCAUGGUCGUGUUGCAUCGGAGGAAACGGAAAUUCAGAGAAGUAAAGUAACUUGCCCAAGGUCACGCAGAACUGGGACGGAACCCAGAAACCAGACUCUGGGAUUCCAAGGCUCCUUUUUCCAUUACGCCAAUACAGCCUGUAUUUCAGGAAGGCCCGAAAUUGUUAAAAAACAAAACUAAAUAUUGCUGCGGUGUCAUUCUAAGCCCCUGUGCCCCGUUUGAGCCAAAUUUAAAGGUAAUUUGAUGUUUGAGUUGUUCCCUGUCUCCUACUAAUGCUGCAGGCUGGAACGAAUUCCAAUCAGACUUCAAAAUGAAGAUGCAAAAAGAAGGAAGAGACAAAUUAAUACCAAUCACCUGAAUAUAAUAAACAAGUGAAGAUGGUAUUUUUUUGUGUGCCUAGCAUAUGUGAGAUGCUCUUCUAGUCACUAGGUGAACAAUAGUUAAUAAAACAGAAAAAUAAUCCUCACUUGUACGUAGCACACAGUGAGAAAGACAAUGAAAAGGUAAAUAUAAUUAUGGCACGUUAGAACCUGAUAAUGCUAAGCAAGAAAACCAAGGAGAUACCAGGAAAAGUUGGAGUAUAAGUCAAGGGUUGAAGUGCUGGAAAGACCAUAACAGAAAAACAAGGUGCAACACACUCUUUUUAAGUAUUUUCAACAGGAAGCUUCUGGCUAGGCUUUUACAUACUGUCUGACAUGGCCUGUGGGCAUUUGGCUGCAGGUGAAGAAGUCCAAAUGGAGAAGACACUAUCAGUGCUUCCAGCUGUCUUCCAGAGAGCUACCUUCAUGUCCUGCCGGCACUUCGAACUCUAAAAGUUUAAAAUAGCUUUCACACCAGCCUACUCUUUCAUUUCAAGUCUUUGCUAAUCAUGCAGUUGUCUGAGAUGGACACAUCAGAGUCGCCACUGGCUUCUUGCCGUGGGAUCUUCCCGGACCGGGGCACAAACCCGUGUCCCCUGCAUCGGCAGGCGGACUCUCAACCACUGCGCCACCAGGGAAGCCCUCCAUGAGGUUCUUUUUUGUAAUAGAUUUUAUGUCUCUGCUAAAUUUCUCUAUCUUUGCAUGCAUAUUGUUCACCUUUUCUACUAGACCCUAUAGCGUUUUAACACAGCUAUUUUAAAGUUCUUGUCUGAUCAUUCCAACUUCAGGCCAUCUCUGGGUCUGUUUCUAUUGACUGUUUCUUUUCUUUCCUUUCCAUGGAUCUCAUUUUAUUGCUUCUUCAUGUGUUU